GAUGAACGCUGGCGGCGUGCUUAACACAUGCAAGUCGAACGAAGCACCUUGAUUUGAUUCUUCGGAUGAAGAUCUUGGUGACUGAGUGGCGGACGGGUGAGUAACGCGUGGGUAACCUGCCUCAUACAGGGGGAUAACAGUUAGAAAUGACUGCUAAUACCGCAUAAGACCACAGCAUCGCAUGGUGCAGGGGUAAAAACUCCGGUGGUAUGAGAUGGACCCGCGUCUGAUUAGGUAGUUGGUGGGGUAACGGCCUACCAAGCCGACGAUCAGUAGCCGACCUGAGAGGGUGACCGGCCACAUUGGGACUGAGACACGGCCCAAACUCCUACGGGAGGCAGCAGUGGGGAAUAUUGCACAAUGGGGGAAACCCUGAUGCAGCGACGCCGCGUGAGCGAUGAAGUAUUUCGGUAUGUAAAGCUCUAUCAGCAGGGAAGAAAAUGACGG
rnacentral:rRNA from 1 species